rnacentral:lncRNA from 1 species
GCUCACUCAUCACUCUUAAAAUAUUUAGAUAAUAUUUACAUUUCUACAAAGCAACAAUGUCUUCUUUAUGACAGUAUGGUUGGAUCGGUACUGAACUAUUCUUCCGAAAUAUGGGGUUUUCACCGUGCCAACGACAUAGAGAUUAUUCAUAACCGUUUUUGUAGGUUUGUUUUAAAAUUAGGUAAACAUGCUCCUAUUAGUUUUCUUUGUGGCGAGCUUGGUCAUCUACCUAUGUAUGUUUUGAGAAAACAAUUAAUCUUAAAAUACUGGUUACGGAGUGUUAUGUAUAUAAACCAGCUUUUGUAUAUGAUGUAUAUAAAAUUUUUGUAUGACGAUGCAAAUCAUGGUAAAAUUAAUUGGGCAUCUAAUGUGCG